AGGAGUGGUCUUGGACAUACGCAAUAGCGACUAGCAUCAAGAGAUAUUUACAUUUGCGAGGCGUUAAGGUUCCGGUAGGCGGGCAUAUAAGGGUACCUGCACUCCGGACUCUCACAUUUCAAUAACACCUUGAGCCAGGAAUCUACUCCAUCGAGUACGAAUACCGCGAUGUCACCUACAAUGAAGUACGUACUCGUCGCUGUUCUCUUCUGCGCUUUGGUUGCUCCCCGAUUCACCCAUGGGUUUUACAGAGUAGGGCGUGAAUUGGAAAAAAGAAGGGAAGCGAUGGGAGGACAAGACCCACUUGUCCAACUGGCCCAAGGACCGGACAGUGAUGACUUGUGGCGGGCGAGAAUGGCCUAUCUACGCGCCAGGCGGACAGAGGCAAAGAAGACUGAACAGAGAUAGAAACGCAAAUUUGAAAGGCUGAAUUAUUGAUAUGAGCAUCAUCCCUUUUGUAUACUCGCCAUAACCCCAACAAGUUACAAUGCCCAAGAAACUUCGACGAGUCCAUCAACGUCUUCCAGCUGUAAAUUGACCGAUUCCUCGUAAAAUGUAACUGUAAAAACUAUGUGCACUUUGGACUGUAAGGAUCGAUAACCCUUGCAACGCUGGUGUCUUAAUGUGUCCUAACGCCAUAUGCAAAAAAGGAAUAGUUGUAAAGCAGCUAGCAUUUGACAUAGAAUUGAAAAAUGCGAACUGCAUGAGUGAUUAAUAAAAAUAAUAAAUGCAAUAAUUACAA